rnacentral:rRNA from 1 species
AUUGCCUCAGUAACUGCGAGUGAAGCGGCAAAAGCUCAAAUUUGAAAUCUGGCGUCUUUGGCGUCCGAGUUGUAAUUUGGAGAGGCAUCUUCGGAGAUGGCGCUGUCCUAAGUUCCUUGGAACAGGACAUCACAGAGGGUGAGAAUCCCGUGCCUGGAUGGCUGUCCAUCUCCAUGUGAAGAGUCUUCGACGAGUCGAGUUGUUUGGGAAUGCAGCUCAAAAUGGGUGGUAAAUUUCAUCUAAAGCUAAAUAUUGGCGAGAGACCGAUAGCGCACAAGUAGAGUGAUCGAAAGAUGAAAAGCACUUUGAAAAGAGAGUUAAAAAGUACGUGAAAUUGUUGAAAGGGAAGCGCUUGAGACCAGACUCAAUCUUUGGUGAUCAGCUGUGCUUCUGCGCAGUGCACUUGCUAUUGAUUGGGCCAGCAUCGGUUCCGACGGUGGGAUAAAAGGCGGAGGAAUGUAGCUUCCUUCGGGGAGUGUUAUAGCCUCCGUCACAAUGCCAUCAGUUGGGACCGAGGACCGCGCUUCGGCUAGGAUGCUGGCGUAAUGGUCUUAAGCGACCCGUCUUGAAACACGGACCAAGGAGUCUAACAUCUAUGCGAGUGUUCGGGUGGAAAACCCUUGCGCGUAAUGAAAGUGAACGGAGGUGGGAACCCGCAAGGGUGCACCAUCGACCGAUCCUGAUGUCUUCGGAAGGAUUUGAGUAAGAGCAUAGCUGUUGGGACCCGAAAGAUGGUGAACUAUGCCUGAAUAGGGUGAAGCCAGAGGAAACUCUGGUGGAGGCUCGCAGCGGUUCUGACGUGCAAAUCGAUCGUCAAAUUUGGGUAUAGGGGCGAAAGACUAAUCGA